GAGUCUGAAGGUGAAAGCACUAAGUGCGAGGUAUUCUUAGCUCCUGGAGGAUUAAUUUCCCUAAUUGGGCAACCCCGGCGUUGCAUGAAAGUGGAUCAGUGCCCGUUUUGGGAUCCUGAGGCAGAGCGGGCCCCUGGGAUGUGGAAUUCCUUCCCUUUGGAUUCCUCUGCUGAGAAAUUCAGCUGCCCCCGUGGUCACCUCGAAUAUUGCUGUUGAUAUUUUAGAGCCCUCGGCUGGAAUUCUGCUCCUGUUGAUCAUCCCACCUGUGCCAGAGGAGCAGAGCUCAGGUGAACGUUGUUUUCCAAGGGCAAAAGGACAUUUCCUCACGCUGUUUUCUGGAAUUAUUCCGAUUUUUGGUUCAAGUGUAUCUCUGAACUUGUUUAAACAGGGCAGAACAUUUUAGCCUGGGAAUUCCUGUCGAAGUGAGAUCCAUCCUGGGCGUGGGGAAUUUUUGAAAUUCUUCAAAGCAAUUCUUAUUUUCCUUUCAAUGAGACACAAGCAACGCUUUAUUUUUUAUUUUUUUUUUUUUUUUCCAGAGGGGGAAAAAAAAAAGACCUCAAACAAUCCCUGAAUUUGCAAAUAUUAUUUAUAUCAACCCUCCUUUGAUAUGGAAAGUUUCUAAAGGGAGCCUUUUAAUGCCCAACAAGCCAAACACAUUUAAUCUAACUGGGGCUGAAAAUUAUUGAAGGCAACUUCUGAGUGCAAAACUUCAAACAAAGCUGAAGAGUCCUUUUAGUUUGGUUUUUUGGGGGGGGUUUUUUGAAGUCUCAGGGAAAAAAACCUGUGGAACAAAAGACAUAAAAAUGCAGGGUGUAUUUUCCUAAAAUUAAAGCAUCACCUGAUCCCAGAAA